UACACAGAAUCCCACCCCAAAAGUCCCGGGGAAGGGAAGGAAGAGAAUUCUGAGUCCCGGAGUGUGAGAGGGGAACGCACCCGGGAAAUCCCUGCUCCGGCCGCUGCACCUCCGCGGGCGCCCAGGUGGGACCUGGGCAGGUGCGCGAGCGCCGUAUGUGCCCGUGUGGAUCUGUGUGUGUGCCCGCAUGUGUGCGUGUGCGUGUGCCGCGGGCUGGCUCCGGGGCACCGAGUACUCCCGGGCCGGCUCGGGUCUCUCUGGCCGCGCCGCCCUAGCCACCCGCCCGCCCGGCCCCACGCCCCAGCCGACCGGCUCCUUACCUGGACGCGCCGCGUUUCCCUCAUUCAGCGGGAGCGCCGCAUUGACACUGCAGAUGGAGCCCGUGCCGCUGCCUCUCGCCCUCCUCUGAACGUGUGCGUGUGCGCGCGUGUGGCUGCCUCCUCCAGCCCCAGCACCGAACGCAAAUACUCCACCGAGGCACAGGGAAACGGCGAGCAGCCGGGAAACGCGGAGGGCGCUGAAUCAGAGCCUGCGGUGCUUGACAGCUCCUCUUGCGGCGUCCAAGGUGGGCGUAAUGUCCAACAAAAAGUGUGUGGUGUCAUUUAUUUUCAUUCAGAGAAAUGAAUGCCAUGUGGUGCCUGAAGAGUAAUAACAGAGCCAAAUGACAAGGAAGACGUACAGCAAAAAGCUGGACCAGCAGCCAUGGGCAGGUGAGGGGCCCAGCCAGCUCUCCCGUUGUUAAUGGAGCCAUAUCUCAAAGUGCCUUUUUCCCUGCUUUCCUUCCACUGAAUGACACAGUGAAAGGCGUACUGAAGGGGGCAGUUAUCACAUCAUCGGAGGGAGUAGCAGAAAGGGUCAAAUUAGCAACAGGAGAGGAUUUUUUUUUUUUCUUUUCAGUGCUGGCCCAUUGGAUUGACUCUCUUAAGUUAGGAGAAUGGAAUGGAGUGAGAUAAAUAUGGCCUCUACCCGGAAAGUUAGAAGACGCGUGUCCUACUCCUGGCUCUGCCAUCGGCCAGCUUUAUAAUUUGGAGCAGGUCACGUCCUCUUGAUGAUACCCACCUAUCACCUGACACAUAUGCCACCUUAGAGUUGCAAUGACUUUCAAAGGACAUACCAUCUUAUUAAGGUGUUUUGAAACUCUAAGGUAAGUACAAACCACAUGUAAGGAAUUAGGGUCACUUUCCAGAUGAAUGUAUCUUUUUUUUUUUCUUUUUUCAAAUAGCAC
rnacentral:lncRNA from 1 species